UGGGGAAUCUUGCGCAAUGGGCGAAAGCCUGACGCAGCGACGCCGCGUGAGUGAUGGAGGCCUUCGGGUCGUAAAGCUCUGUGGGGAGGGACGAACCGCUGCACGUUCAUAGCGUGCAGCAUGACGGUACCUCCUUAGCAAGCACCGGCUAACUCCGUGCCAGCAGCCGCGGUAAUACGGAGGGUGCAAACGUUGCUCGGAAUCAUUGGGUGUAAAGCGCACGUAGGCGGCGAAGCAAGUCGGGUGUGAAAGCCCUGGGCUCGACCCAGGAAGUGCAUUCGAAACUAUUUCGCUUGAAUCUCGGAGGGGGUCAGAGAAUUCCCGGUGUAGAGGUGAAAUUCGUAGAUAUCGGGAGGAAUACCAGUGGCGAAGGCGCUGACCUGGACGAAGAUUGACGCUGAGGUGCGAAAGCGCGGGGAGCAAACA
rnacentral:rRNA from 1 species